rnacentral:tRNA from 1 species
AAGGGAGACCUAAUUCAGGUAUGGGACGAAAAAAAAGUAGUCGCUACCAGGAAUCAAUCCCAAAAGGUCGGAGCGAGGCGAAAUUGGCUUUCAAACUAGGUUCUGGGUUCAAACAAGACCUGAAUCAGGAACAAGGGCUAUUAGCUCAGGUGGUUAGAGCGCACCCCUGAUAAGGGUGAGGUCCCUGGUUCGAGUCCAGGAUGGCCCACCUGUACAGGUGGCAAAAAGAAAGAAAAGAAGCGAGGAAUCAGCACCUUAUCUUACUUAUAUAGUAAGAGAGAAUGCUGGCUCUGAGUAAAGAGUCCAGAGGAACCUUGAAAACUGCAUAGAGCUAGGUGAAAAAGCCAAAAAAGAAGACCGCAA